rnacentral:tRNA from 1 species
GCCCGGAUAGCACAGUGGUAGAGCAUUUGCAUGGUAAGCAAAAGGUCGUAGGUUCGAUUCCUAUUCCGGGCA